AUGCUCCGGGAGGAAGGAGGACAGGGGUUGGCGGGGAGGCGGGGCUCCGGAGAAAGGCCGGCGGUGGGGCGGGGCUCCAGGAGGAGGAAGGAGGGGGCAGGGCUACGGGAGGAAAGGGGAGGGGCUGCGGAAGGCUGGCGGUGGGGCGAGGCUCCCGGAGGAAGGAGGAAGGGGGCGGGGCCCCGGGAGGAAAGAGGAAGGAGCAUACACACUGGCGGUGGGACAGGGAUCCGGAGGAAGGAGGAAAAGGGCAGGGCUCCUGGAGGAAGCAAGGCGGGGCGCGGAACUCCAGGAAGGGCGGGUGGGCCUAGGGGUCCCUACAGCCCCUGUACGCUAGACACCCCGUGCUUCAGCCCAGAGAGGUGGUCCUCACUGUGCUCGGCGUCCUCCGUCCCCGGGUCAGUACACAGAGGUGUCCCCACUGUGGUCGGCGUCCUCUGUCCCCGGGUCAGCACACGGGGCGUCCUCACUGUGGUCAGCGUCCCCAUCCCCCGGGGUCAGCACACCGGGUGUCCUCACUGUGGUCGGCAUCCUCCAUCCCUGGGUCAGCAUACAGGAUGUCCCCAGUGUGGUCGGGGACCUCCGUCCCCCAGGUCGGCACACGGGGUGUCCCCGCUGUGGUCGGCGUCCUCUGUCCCCGGGUCAGCAUACAGGAUGUCCCCGGUGUGGUCGGCGUCCUCCGUCCCCCGGGUCAGCACACGGAAGUGUCCCCACUGUGGUUGGCGUCCUCUGUCCCCAGGUCGGCACUCAGGGUGUCCCCGGCGUGGUCGGCGUCCUCCGUCCCCCGGGUCAGCACACGGAAGUGUCCUCACUGUGGUCGGCGUCCUCUGUCCCCAGCUCAGCACUCAGGGUGUCCCCAGUAUGGUCGGCGUCCUCCGUCCCCCGCGUCAACACACGGAGGUGUCCUCACUGUGGUCCGCGUCCUCCGUCCCCAGUUUCUUUAGCUGGCAGAGGCAAUUCAGGAUUUUCAAACGUGACCUUUAUUCCUGUUGUCUCAGAGAUAUGGUCAGUGCCCCGAUGCCAAGGUAAACACAAUAGGUACUUCCAAAUGCUAGAGGGAUUACCUAAGCAGGUCGUGUCAAAUGAUUGGGCAGCCAGUUCUGGGCAUAUUAGCCCAGGGCUCAGCUCUGGGGUUGGAGUUCAAGAGUCAGCAGUGUUGAAGAGUGGAGUUGAAGAGUGUUUGAGAGAGUCCUUGGCCUGCUGUGAUCAACCCGUC
rnacentral:lncRNA from 1 species